AGCUCUCUUCCCAGCACCUACUUGGUCUGAGAACCAACUAUACCUCCAGCUCCAGGGGACCUUGUACUUUCUCUGGACCUCUGAGAUCUGCAUGUACGUGGUAAGCACUAAGUCACUCAGGCAAGCACAUAUGCAUGUCAAUUAAUCAUUUAAAAAGAAAAAAAAAAAAAAAGAACUCUAGAAACCACAAACAAUUGCUUUUCCCCUGUCUUUGGAAGACCCCAUACUCAAAUUUAUCCACAAAAUAACUUUUCUAUGAUAGGUAACCCUUUGCAGGAAUUAAUUUUUAUUUAGCACUAGAGAUAUACUGAAGUGAUUUAAAUUGUGAUUUGAGAAUAAACAUAAACUCGUUGACUUAAAAUCUAUGAAACUGAAUUUCUGGGCGUGGCCUUCCUGUCAGAGUUAAACUGUGUCUGUGUUCCCUCCCUUCAGCCGACCAUAAAGAACGCUGGUGCUUUUGUCUCUGGUGUCACCAGAAAUUGCUUUAGCCAAAUUAAACUACACACGUAUCAAGGGUAGUCUUGUCUAAUUUUCUCACAAUGCUAUAUUGCUAUUAUUAUUAUUAUUAUUAUUAUUCAAAUUCCUUUCCAGUUCCUUGACCCACAGUAGGAAAUCAAGCUGCAGAAGCCUUUUGAUCAGGCUGUCUUUGCAGUUCUCUGUUUUCAGACUCAGGACUAUCUGUAGGUCCAAGCUGGAUUGCCGUGGUGCUGUGUGACAUGAGGUAGCAAACCCCACACAAGAGGCUAAAGCAGUGGCUUUCAACCUUCCUAACGGUGCGACCCUUUCAUCCAGUUCCUCGUGUUGUGAUGACCCUCAGCCAUAAAAUAAUUCUUUUUAAAGAUUUAUUGAUUUUUUUUUUUUUUUUAAUGUAUGAGAGUACCCUGUCACUCUCUUCAGACACCCAAGAAGAGAGAGCAUCGGAUCCCAUUACAGGUGGUUGUGAGCCACCAUGUGGUUACUGGGAAUUGAACUCAGGGAGAGGAGUCAGUGCUCUUAACUGCUGAGCUAUCUCUUCAGCCCCAUAAAAUUAUUUUUGUUGCUACUCCAUAACUGUAAUUUUACUGCUGAAUAACUGAAAUUUUGCUAUUGCUGUGAAUUGUAAAGCAAAUAUCUAAUAUGCAGGAUAUGUGAUAUGUGACCCUUAAAGGGGUCGUGACCCACAGCUUGAGAACCACGUGUCUAAAGACAUGUUCUAGAGUAGUGCUUGGGAUGCAAAGAAUAGAAAGGGCAACUUCUAGAAAUUUCUAUUCUUCUACAAAGAAUAGAAAGGACAAGUUCUAGGCAAGAGCUUGAAUGGAGUACCUCAGCCUGAAGAAAAAAUCCCAUCCAAGGGACUUUGGGUUUCAAUGAAAUUGGUGUCUUGAUUCUAGCCCCACAAGGUUGUUACUAAUAAGCUCGUUCCAAUAUUGAGCCUCCACAGUGGUCCUUGGCUAUUACCCGGAUUGAUCUCUUAGAAUAAGAAGUUAGAUUGAGAUACUGAAGUGAUUUAAAUUGUGAUUUGAGAAUAAACAUAAACCUGUUGAACACAAUCUGGGAAGGUAAAUUUGGAGGGAUGGCCUUCCUGUGAGACUUGAGCCAGGUCAGCUCUCAGUUCAGCUGACGUGAGAGAAGGGCUAAGGCGCUUUGGUUGUUAAUAUCACCAAAAAUUAUUCAAGCCGAGUUGCAAUGCAAAAUUUUUUUUUUUUAGAUAUUUUCUUUAUUUACAUUUCAAAUGUUAUCCCCUUUCCUCGUUUCCUCUCCAAAAAUCCCCCUCCCCUCCCCUUCCCCCUUCUCCCUUCUCCCCAACUCACCCACUCCCAUUCCUGGUUCUGGCAUUCCCCUAUACUGGGGCAUAGAACCUUCACAGGACCAAGGGCCUCUCCUGCAAUGCAAAUCUUUUGAUUUGAAAUAUGCAAACUGUGUUUUUAUAGCGAAACUACAUUGGUAUACUUAGAGAUUUUUCUUUAAUAUCCCUCCCCAGAAAGAAUUUGGAGAAAAAUAGUAACGAGUUAAAAAAAAAAAAAAUCAACAGGCUUACGGGAGAAGAGAGGACAAUGUGGAAUUCUUGAAUUCUUUUUUGGAAGCCAAAUUUAUUUUUAUAAGCCUUUAGCAGAAUACUGUUUGUUCUUGGGAUAAUUGGCUCUGGCCUUGUCUUUCAAAUAUGCUUUGACCAACGACCAGUUGAGAGAAACAGGAUAAAUGAAAUUGGGAAAUUAAGAAAAUGGCUAUUUUUUUUUCUUCUUAAAAUGAGAACAAAAGUCAUGAGGGGGGUCUUUUAUUUUUCAGAUAAUUUUUAAGAACCCCUGCCUUUAGCAGAAAGGUUUUGCUUAAGUGUUGUCACUCUGGAGAGAGGGGAGGAUUCUGAAGUCUUUAAUGUGGUUCUACAAAUGUAAGCCUGGCUGUUUAAUCAUGGCAUUUCUGCAGAGACGAAUCUCUGUGCCCACACGUCUCCCCCUUCUCUCAUUUCUUUUAAUGUCUUAGAUGUGGACUAAGCCUUGGAACAGCCACUGCUAAGUGUUUCCACAUUGGAAAAAUUGAAGAGUUUGGCUGGAUACAAUUCUGACUUUAUAGGAGGGAAUUACUUGUCCCUUAAGGCUGCGUUAGAAGUCAUAUACUUUAUUUGCUAUUUGGACCUAGGUGGCCUAAACCAAACAAAAGAAAACAAAACAAC
rnacentral:lncRNA from 1 species